GACGAACGCUGGCGGCGUGCUUAACACAUGCAAGUCGAACGGUAAGGCCCUUCGGGGUACACGAGUGGCGAACGGGUGAGUAACACGUGGGUGAUCUGCCCUGCACUUCGGGAUAAGCCUGGGAAACUGGGUCUAAUACCGGAUAGGACCACUGCCUGCAUGGGUGGUGGUGGAAAGCUUUUGCGGUGUGGGAUGGGCCCGCGGCCUAUCAGCGUGGUGGUGGGGUGAUGGCCUACCAAGGCGACGACGGGUAGCCGGCCUGUGAGGGUGACCGGCCACACUGGGACUGAGAUACGGCCCAGACUCCUGCGGGAGGCAGCAGCGGUGAAUAUUGCACAAUGGGCGCAAGCCUGAUGCAGCGACGCCGCGUGAGGGAUGACGGCCUUCGGGUUGUAAACCUCUUUCAGCACCGACGAAGCGCAAGUGACGGUAGGUGCAGAAGAAGGACCGGCCAACUACGUGCCAGCCGCCGCAGUAA
rnacentral:rRNA from 1 species